AAGGGCUAUUUUUGGAGGUCAGCCUUUGGUGCUAGGGCUCCCAUCACCUGAUGGCCUCUUGGCCUCCUUCUCCGGUGGGAAGAGCCAUCGGAAAUGGCUGACUUCUGGUUCUGCCUCCGUUGGCAGGCGGGGGGUAGGGACAGGGCCUCCAGGGCCCAGCAGCCAGCAAAGGAGAUUACAAGGCAGUCUUUAGGUUACCCAGCACCUUCUUGAGUGAGUCCCAUGACAGUGAGGCACUAUGGGUCACCAUGGCCACUAGCCCAGUGUCUCUUGAAGUUUCCAGUGAUACUGGGUGCUCAGGGGCAUAGUGUAGCUAUUUCAGAGCUCCACAAAAGAUAGCAGAGGAUAGUCCUGUGUGCAUGUGCAUGUGCAUGCCUAUACCCACACACAUCCACAUGGGUAAGAUUUGUGUGUGCUCAUGUGUGCACACGAAUGCACACAUGCACCCACGCCCAUAUACAUCCACAUGGGGUCUAGAGGCCAAUGCUCAGUGUCUUCCUUUAUUGCCUCCCACCCUAUCUGGGGACAAGGUCACUCACUGAAGCAGGAACUUCACAAUUGGUUAGGCUGGUUGGCCAACAGACCUCAAAGAUCCUUCUUUCUGUCUCUCAGCCCUGGGACUCUGUGUGCCAAACCAGCCCUGUGGAUCAGAGCUCAGGUCUUAUGGUUACUCAGCAAGCGCCACUGACCAAGCCAUUUCCACAGCCCUCACAUUCAUUUUUGUUGUAAUUUCAAAUGAAAUAUAGUCUCCAUUCCCUGGUCUUCAGGCCUUCAUGCAUUCUAUCCCCAACACCAGGUCUCAGAAGUCAGAUGGUAAGGUAAGGGGGAAAGCCACAGGGCUGAGGAGGAGGGGGAUUUUCCACUUCCCCUCCUGGCUCCGUAUUUAGAAUUUCCACUUUUCACUUGCAAAGGUUUUCCUUUCUCUGCGGCCUCAGCGUUUGCCUCACACUCAGCCUCCUGCACACUCAGGCCUGACAGUGGGUCUCUCUUGACAUUUUUUUUUUUCAGAUGUGAACAGGCUGCUUGUCCACAUUUUACAGUUCUGUCUCUGGGAUGCUUGUGCUGAAGGCCUCCACGGUCUGCAAAGCCCAGGAUUCUGUAGAGGUGGCAGAGACCCAGACAGUUUCCUCAACCUCAGAGGGGGCUCUGACUGCUUCCCAUAUGACACUGUCACACAGAUGGCCUGUGAGAUGGAGGAGACUCCUCUCUCUCUCUCUCUCUCUCUCUCUCUCUCUCUCUCUCUCUCUCUCUCUCGACACGAGCAUGCACGAGCGCACACACAAACAUACACACACUCACAUUGUCCAGGGCUCUCAGAACUACCACGAUGCCUCUGAUGGCAGCACUAAAGUCAACUACACAUGGGGUCUGAGUUUUCUUUCUUUCUUUUGUGGUUGCCUGACUUUGAUUCUGUAAGCAUAUAUAGAGCACCUACUGUAUACACGCUUGGUGUGAGCAAGUCAGAAUAGAAGGAGAGUCCUGUGCAUAGUGUUUGUGCUCAGGAGUGGAAGCCUAGUGCAAAGCCAUGUACUCUGGGGACAAAAGCACAGGGUGGAGACAGGAAGUCAGAUGAAGCUGGGUGCAAUUCUGUGAAGAUGGUUGGCAAUGCCCAGCUGGCAAAGACCUGGAUAACAGCCAUACUUGGUCCCUGGGGAGCCCCUCCUUGGGUCAUCCAGCUGAGGUUGGACAGGUGUCCUGCUUCCAUUUGUCUUAGUCAAGAGUUCUCUGGAGGAAUGAACAUCAUGAAAAUAGGUCACAAAGGGGCUUUGUUAGAUUGGCUCACUCCACAUAGGCAAGAGUGUUCAACAGUGACUUCUAUAUGCAGAGGGGCUAAGGACCUGACAGAACCCAUGCCACAAGGUCAAAAUCAGUCUGAGAACCUACAGGGUUCCCGGAAGCUGCUGGCCCUUAGUCCACACUGGAAGGCGGGAAAAGUUUAGGUCCUGAUGGCAGUGAAGGAUGGUGGCGGUAGGGCAGUGGCAGCAACAGUGGUGAUGUCCUUACCAGCAAGGGGAAAGGCAGGCAGAUUAUAGGCCUAUUUCCCCCCAGGACUUCUUUAGAUCUGGUCUGUUGCUAGAAGGCGGCACCCACUCUGGUAGGAGGGGCUUCCCAGUUUGCCCUCCAGGAAACGCCCUUACAGUCCUGUUAGUUGAUCCCAGAGCAAUCAUGUUAUCCACUUUGCUGUCUCUCUACAGAUCUGGAGCCUUAACAGAUCAGAAGACAUUUUACCUGAGACAGACUGAAAACCUAUUCAUUAUCUGGCUUUUAAUAGGGAAUGUUUGCAACUGUACUUUAAGCCAUUGUGACCUGGUGGAGGGUGUGCUCGUUACUGCAGUGCGACCUGUGUGUAUUGACUGAUACAUUCCAAAAACCGUGUCCUAACUCUAUGACAUAUAUGGCCACAUCUGAAGCGAUGCUCCGUCAGUGUGAUGUGGAAUGCUCCAACACCUUGAGCCCACUGCCCGACUCUGUACUUCCACUGGAGCCAUGUUAGCAUCUCAAGACAGGCAGGACCAGGGAGGUAAAGAACAGUCUGCAAGUCACUUGGGGUGUGCCCAUGCUUCUGAGCCACAAGAAAACGUGUCACGAUAUUCCUAAGUUUUCUCGGUAUUGCUGAAGCCAAUGUGCUCAGCCGGUCUGGGCACUCACAGGCUUUUCUGCCCCCAACACCUUCUGUUUGAGAAAAAGGUGAACAGAGGCUGCUUCAGCCCAGGGCUGAAGGGAGAAGUGGGAUCCUGGCUUCCCCAACAAGCCGUCUCUGCUCCCUGCUUCCCUUGUUUGUGUUCAGUAGCUCUCAACCCUAGGGUUCACGCUGUCUACGAUGAUAGCAGCCUGGCGGCAUGUGGCCACCAUCCUGCCCACGGGGGGCACUGGUUUUCUCACCUUUCUCUGUGUGUGUCCAGCUCUGCGUAGGUGCUGCAGAGCAGGCCUGGCAAUGCCCUCCUCUGACUACCACCGUGCAAAGGAGGAACCAGGAGCUCUGUCUCGGGGAGGGGCUUUGUCCGCUUGAAGCUCAGUUCAGCUGUGGAGCCAGCCUUCUCCAACCACAGUCUUUGUUGGGCUUUUGUUGUUGUAGGGUAGCCCAGGUUGGCCUUAAACUCCUGAUUCUCCUGCCUCCACCUCUCUAGCUGUGGGAUAACAGGCAUGCGCCAGCAUCCUGAGUUUACAUGGUGUUGGGAAUCAAACCCAGGGCUUCAUAAACACUAAGGAAAACACUCGAAUGACUCAGCUACAUCCCAACCCUUGUUACUUUUUGAGUUAAGCACUUAGGCUUGCUCAACAUACUCGGAAGAGUGGAGCCUCCUUUACAACCCAAGAGGCACUGGCGAAAUACUUGCUAUGAGGAAAUCUUUCCAUUGAGAAAAUUCCUGUGUGGGCCUCUGCUCAGUGUGGUGGCCAUGCUUGAGAAGGGCAUAGGGCUUUGGAGACCAUGGUUCCUGCUGCCUUUAUCACACCUGCUGCCUGGCAAGGGACAGGAGCCUCCCUGUCCCUAGCGCUGGGUCAUUAUUGACUUUGCUACCACCCAGAAGUGGAAUGAGUUCUGGGUCCCUGAGGGGUCCUGGUGAGCUGUUUCACCAGGUGGACAUUCACCUUGUCUGAGGACUGAUUCUCAUUCUCAAUUUUCCAGACACUGAGGGGAGGGGACAAGGUGAGGACUCACCUGGCAUGUCCCCUGCUCUCUCACUGUGAAGCCCUCCAGUCAGGACCUGCAGGGCUACUCUUCAAACAAGCUGGACAUGCAUGGCCCUGCACAAGCAUUCCACAGGAGAGGAGGGCCUCACUCUGCAGAGAGGGGAGGCCUCUGUCUUUCCCCUUCCAACAGUGAACUGUGGAAUUCUGGGCCCCCUUGGCUAUGCUAUUGUCUGGAGCCCAGAUCCAGAGGCUCAGGAGCUGGAGGGACAGUACACAGACCUCAGAAGUAGCCUUGGGACCUGGAGACACAGCUCAGUUGACAACAUUUUUGCUGAGCAUGUACGAAGCCCUAAGUUCCAUCUCAGCAAUGCAAAAAUCAGGCAGUGGUGGUGUGCACUUGCAAUCUGUAAUCCCAACAUUGAAGGGGUGGAGGCAGGAGGCAGGAGGAUCAGAAAUUAAAGGUUAUCCUCAGCUACACUGUGAGUUUGAAGUAAGCCUCAGCUACUGGAGAUCUUGUUUUGUUUGGUUUGCUGAUUAAUUACCUAAUUUAAAAAGCAUCAGGUCAAGCUAUGCCUGCAGCAAGCAUUUUUCCUGAGGUCUACGUAAACCCGAACUCCAGUAAUCCAAGAUGGAAUCGGUCAGGCCCCUGCCUCAUGCUCCAACUGGCAGCUAGGGCGGGUCCCAGCCUCAGAGGGAACUCAAAGAGUACUAGGGAACUGAAAACACAUGACUCCAAUCAGGAGGAAAAAUGACUUCAUGGCCACAGCCCCUGAAGCAGAAGGCUCUGCAGCCCGGCCCUGUCCGGGCAGACUUUCAAAAGAUUGGCUUCAGGUUCCAGGCCCUUUCGCAGGCUGUGCUGAAGAGCCCCAGACAAUGUCUUGGGGACGGUGGGUUUGCCUUGACUUGGGGUAGGAGCUCCUGAAGCCACUCACGUUUGCAGACACUAUACAGGAGACACUGAGGGGAGGGGACAAGGUGAGGACUCACCUGGCAUGUCCCCUGCUCUCUCACUGUGAAGCCCUCCAGUCAGGACCUGCAGGGCUACUCUUCAAACAAGCUGGACAUGCAUGGCCCUGCACAAGCAUUCCACAGGAGAGGAGGGCCUCACUCUGCAGAGAGGGGAGGCCUCUGUCUUUCCCCUUCCAACAGUGAACUGUGGAAUUCUGGGCCCCCUUGGCUAUGCUAUUGUCUGGAGCCCAGAUCCAGAGGCUCAGGGGCUAGAGGCCAGUGCAAAUCGUGUGCCUGUCCUUCCCGGGAGGACUCCCAAACUUGGGGGAAACAUCAGGGACAGAAUCUAUACUCCACGUAGGGUGGGGGAGGAAAGCUCUCUUGCAAGAUGGGUUGAUGUAGAUGAGGCUGGAGAGGAUUUUGAAUGCAGCCUGAGGAAGUCUUUUGAGGCCCUAGGAAGCCACGGAAAGUUGGGGAGAAGAAGCAGUACCCUGGAACAUUGUAGAAUUGACUCCCUCUGGCAGAGCACCAGGGCUGAGCCUCUGUGGAACUUCUGCAUGGGAGCCAGGCAGACUGUUCCCUGUGACCCUGGGCUCUCUCACUUGAGAGGUUUCUAAGCAAUUAACCCCCUCAAACGGUGAGGAAACAGCUGGGCCUGGUUGGCACCUUGAAUCCCAGCAUUUGGGAAGCAAAGGCAGGUAGAUCUCUGAGUUCCAGGGCAGCCAGGAGAUCUUACUUGGAAAAAAAAAAGAACAAAAGGAAACUGAGGUUCAGAGUCACCUGAAUGGGGUCCUACAAUUUGGGGGCCCCAGGCAUCGGAAUGGCCCGGCUCUGCCUUGAGUUUGAGGCUAAAGCACACUGAACAAGGCAGAACGGGACUGGAGGCCUUAGUGAUAAACUCAGGUUGAUCUCCAAGCCCAUGCCAACUACAGCCAAUAGACUAGAUCAUCUCCUACAGAGCUCCAUCCAUCAGCUGUCACAGGGACAGUGUCAUCAUGUCGCAUGGCCUCUGGAAGACUCCACUGGAGGCUUUGGAAUGGACAGAAGAGACAGAGUGACAGGAAUCUCCUUAUGCACGCAAUUGCCUGUGGUUUGAACGUGUGCUCAGAGGCCAUGUGCCGGUAACCUGUUUCCCAGUGCAGCUGUGAUUUGGGGUGGGGCCCUAGGAUGGGCUUAAAUCGUCUCAGAGGAUCGAUCCAUUCACAAGAUGGUGGAGUGCUGGAACUAGCAGCUCAGCUGAGAACAUGAGCUCUCCCCUGCAGGACCAUUAUCUCAGAAGGAUCCCAUCUCAGCAUCUAUGACUCUUACCGAGUCUGACACAGCAUGAAACCCUUAACCAGAUGUGAACAGAUGUCUGCACCACACUUGUGAACUUCCAGCUUCCAGACACAAUGGGCCAAGCCAGCCUCUUUCCUGAAUGAAUUGUGCAGCCUCGCUGAGUCUGAUGGGACAUAAACAUAGCUGUCAUCCCAGCACUGGGGAAGUAGAGGCAGGAGGAUCAGGAAUUCGAAGUUCAUCCUUGGCUAUAUAUUAGAUUGGAGGGCAGCCUGAGCUAUAUGAGAACCUGUUUCAAAAAGCAACAACAAACAAACAAACAAACAGCUAACCAAGCGAGCCUCUCAUCACCACAGAUGAAUUCAGAGCUGAACGGACUGUUGAGAGGAUGACGUGGUUGAAGGAAAUAGAUCCUUAGAGGCAGCCCUGGAAAAUUCUUCCCUCUCUGCUUCCUGGCCAUUAGAAGUGUCCCACUAUGACACUGUACCAUGCCACAGGCUGCUGUGCUGCAACCAUGCAACCACAGUUGAAGCCUCUGGAUAAAUGAAUUUCUUUACCUGCUCCGCCCCCGGGAUGUAAAGCUGGAACCAAGGGUAUGCUUGCAACAUCUCUACGUCUCUGUCUCUGUCCAUCUAUCUGACUCUCUACCCAUUUUUCUCUGUGACAUCUCUAUUGCUGUCUCUCUCAAUCUUUAUGUCUCUACGAAUUGUUCUCUGUGUUUCUCUCCCUGUCUGUCUGCCUACCCACACUCUCAGCCUUAGUCUCUCUCCAUCUCCUUUCUUUACUUCCCACAGCCCAUGGAAGGAGAGUAUAACUGCUGUGUGUCUCACACAGUGGGGUGGCAUGCCUCUCACCAGACUGCUGGGAAAGUAAAUGACUUGCAUGUGUGGAGACAGCUUCUUCAAGGCAAGCUGAAUGCCCGAGCAUUUGCCACACACACCUUUUUGGUGGCCUCAAAUUACAUCUCAAUAGGUUGCUAAGGACCCCUCGCCCAUCUCCCUCUCUUCUGAUAAUGUGAUAAUGGGGGUUUGAGGUGGCUCUAGGGAUGGCUUGGAUGGGUUAAACCUAAGAAAGUGAAUCCAGGAGCCACUAGGGCUGUGCAGGGGCUUAUGAUACGCCCCUUCUUGUCAGUGGGGUUUCUGGGAGAUUCCUAGAGAAUGCAGGUUCACAGAGGGAAAGUUGAUUAUCCUCAGACUUCUUGCUGUUUGAGAGGCUACCCUCAAACUCCCUUUCCCCUUUCGUGACCCCAUAAUUUCCACACCUACCUGUCCUGCCUCAGUACCCCAGUGCCUCCUAGAUUCUCUUUCACUGCUACUCAGUACUCUGCCGGUUCUGCACUCCGUCCAUGGUUCCAUUUCCUUCACUGCAGUAUCGGCUCCCUCAGGUCUGGCUUUGUCCCUUUCUGUCUGUCCACCCCCCACCCCUGCUCUGUGAUUCCCAGUGUAGCAACCUGCUCUGUGCAGAAAGGGAAGGAGGGAAUGGCAGCCUGGAGGGGUAGAAAGCCAGACAAGAUCUUUGUGCCUUUGCCCUGAGUGAGUCCCUGCCACUCAGUGACAUGAGAGUCACGUUCCUGGCCCAGCAGGUACCUUCCUCAUUAAGGUCAGAGCUGGUUUGGCCUCCAGAAAGCCUUUAGAACUCCUCUCUGAUAUGCCACAGCCUUCAGCCUUUGCUAAUUCCCAGUGGCCUUGUCCUUGGUCUGCAAGCUUCCUAUGGGUUAUUAUAAGGAGAGAGAGAAUGUGGAGAUGUUUAAAGACUUCUGAGUGCCCUGGGGACAGAAUAUAGGUUGUAAAGGCCAGGAGGCUUCCUCUCUACCUGGAGGAUCAAAUCUGUUUGUGGGUUUCCAAGCUGUAUCUUAGUGAAGAAAACCUCCCAGGAUGCAAUAUGAUCCCUAGUAGACCCUCACUGACUGUUGCCUAUCCCAUCUGGCACCUCCAGCAGGGUCUGUGGAACAACCUCCAACCUGGUCUGCAGCUAGAAUUCCUCAUGAGUGACCCUGAGAGGGAUGGCACAGAGCACCUCCUAAAGGAGAAGCGACCUCCACAGGCACCAUCCAAAUGCUUUGGGAUGUCUGGUGCCCACAUGACCUGCUGGGCCCCAGACAAAGCCACACUUGAGACAGUCUCUGGUCUCUCGUGAUACCUACCUACACCCAUACUCAAUUCAAGGCUGCAUCCUCUGGGGUAGCGAGUGGCCUCUGGUUCCUGCUCCCUGUCCUUGCUCUGAGAACUGCCAUGAUGGAUGUACUGUGGCCUGGGGUACAAGCCUAGAAUAGGGUACAUGAAGAAAGUGGCCCAUCAGAGACCUAAAUCUGUGUACUGCCUCUAGGCCCUGCCUGCAGACCAUGCCCAGGGCCUCUGCCUCCUGCAGUUGGCUUUGUCUGUCUUUGUAUUUUUUACUCACAGUUUGAGUCUUUUUUCCCCAGGCCUCAGGUUUCACCUGUUGCUGGGAUGAUCCGUUGAAUGUAUGUACUAGUGGCCUCCAAGAAGCUAGAGGUAGGCUUUCCUACCCUACUCUAGCAAGGUUGGGAAUUCUAGUCAGAUCCUCUGUUCUCCCAGGGCUGGGCUCUGAAGGUUCAAGAUGGUGAAAAGAACCCAAAGGACCCUGCAGAACACUGGUCAGGGCUGGGGUAGGCACUGCCUCAGAGGAGAUAAGGAGGCAAGGGUUCCCCAGGUCCCAACCCCUCCCUAUUCUGAGGUAGCCUCCUUUAAUGGAAGCACCUAACUUUAAUUUUGGAAAUGUAGAUAAAGAAGCUGGGGCCAUGUGAGUACUCAGGAAUGGAGCCAGGCUUUGGCUUCCAUUAACCUGUAGUGUGACAGAGAGUAGUCCCUUCACCUCUCUGAGCAGCCUAGGCCAUUGUCAAGUAGCUGUUGUUUCAGCUCUAGCCCUGGCUCUCCAUGCAGCUCCGACACAGUCCCUUCUCCUUCCUGAGGAUUUCUUGCUUUCAUCUGUCCACAAGCCAUCGGAUCACCUCCACCCAGGAGUACCAUCCCCACCAUCAUUCAACAGCACCCCUUUCUCUACCCAGUCUGAAGCCCCAGCUCCCUGUCCCUCCUCAUGGCUCCUGAGAAGGCUGUCCUCACGGGGCACACUGGACCUGCCUUGCUCUCAGACGAGCCCACGCUAGGAGGUCCCACCCGGGCCCCAGGAGUCACCCCCUUUCAUGACUCCCUGCACCUCCCCCCCAAUUCUGCUGUCCCUUUCAGCCCAUGAGCCCCUCCUUCAGGCCUCAGGGAUCCAGAAGAUUCUGGGAGCAACUGGGUUUGAAACACUAGGCUCCUGGGGUUCCCAGGCUCAUGAGGCUUGGGGGUUCCUUGGUUCCUUCUCUUCUUGUUCCACCAUUCUCCCUGAGUGACUUCAUCGGUUCCCAUGGAUUGAAUGGAUGACUUGGUGAACUCCAAAUUUGUCUCCAGCCUUGAUCUCCCCUCUGACCUCUAAACCCGAAUAUCCGGUUGUCCCCUCAGAUCAUGACUGAUCUGGGCUUCAGGAACUUUCUCCCCAGGCCUUUCCCAGCCCCCUCAUCUCAGGAGAUCCACUCCACAUAGCUACACAUACCAGUCUGCCCAUCUCCACCCUCCUGGCUCUUGUCCAUGCUCAGGAACCCAUUUACUGAGGACCCAACCCCUUGGAAGCCUAAGGCAGGGCCUGCUAGUGUUGCAUGGAGAGCAGAAAAUGUGCUCUCUGCUAAGCUUCCCCACUGUAGAGACCCCCAAGAGCCAGAUCCCCCAGGGAGGUGUGGGGAAACCACGUCCUCCUAGCCAAGAAUGGAGCUCAGUCCUGGAGAAGCAGGGUUUCUGUUCUCUUGGGGGUUGCUGAGCAGUGGCAGGGACCUCUCUGGGGACCACCAUGAAAUGAGGUCAUAUAGUCAUAAAAGAAAAGCUCUGGAUAGAUGUAUUCCAGUCCCAGUCACUGGGGUGGGGACUGCUGGCCCCACCACUCCUGGUAGUGCAGGCUUUUCAUGAGUGCUCCCAGACUCCAGCAGAGCCUGUUCCUCAUGCAAACCCAACCUCUGGAGUCUGCAGGGGUGGUCCGUGCAGGGGGGAAUUUGAAGUUACAGUGCUGGGGAGAGUAAGGGGAGCCGAGCAGGUUGCUGAUGCUGGGACAUCAGCUUGGGAGGAUGUGACAGCUUGCAUAUGCUGGACCCAGGGAGUGAUACUAAUAAGAGGUGUGGCCUUCUUGGAGUAGGUGUGUCACUCUGGGCAUAGGCUUUAAGAACCUCAUCCUAGCCCAGAAGCCAGUCUUCUCCUAGCUGCCUUCGGAAUAAGAGGUGGAACUCUCAGCUCCUCCAGCUCCAUGUUUACCUGGGCACUGCCAUGCUCCCACCUUGAUGAUACUGGACUGAACCUCUGAACCCGUAAGCCAGCCCCAGUUAAAUGUUGUCCUUUAUAAGAGUUGCCUUGGUCAUGGUGUCUGUUCACAGCAGUAUAACCCUCACUAGGACAGUGGCUAUCCUUUUUGUGGCAUAUUUAGUGAGCAGCUCCUGCAUGUUGAAGAGUCACACUUCACACAAGGCUCUCCUUCAUAAAGGCCUCAUCACCUCCUAUCACUGCUAGGCUGAGCAUGGAGCUUCUAAUGCAUGGAUACACAAGGCACAUUUGAAUUGUAGCUACUCCACAUGUCUCUCUCUCUCUCUCUCUCUCUCUCUCUCUCUCUCUCUCUCUCUCUCUGUGUGUGUGUGUGUGUGUGUGUGUGUGUGUGUGUGUGUGUGUGUGUGUGUGUGUGUACUGCGCACUCUGGGACAAGUGGAGAGUACAAGGUGGGGAGGAAGCAUAUCCAAGUUUUAAGGCAAACGAAGCCACAUGAGGCCUUCCCUGGUCUCCCAGCAUCCUGUACACAUGUCUCCAGUCAACCUCUUUUUUUUUCAGUAGUGUGGUUCUGGUGAGUCUGCCCUCUGUAGUAACUGUGGCCAAGAGCUAUGUGACAUUUUCUAGAAAACUGCCAAGUAAUUGUGAAGGGUUAGACAGUGUAGAGUCUGGGAGGGGCAAGGACCCCAAUACUGGCUGUUAGUGGAUUCAUGCUUAGAAGUCCUGGUGGGAAGCCCUAGAGCCUCAGUUAGUUGGAUGAGCAAGGACAAACCCGAUUGCCAUGGGGCCAAGACUGAGGCCUGUCCCUGGGACAGCCUGGAUGCUAGGUGUGGCAGGUAGGGUCAGGGGUUAUGUUUGAAUGCGGGGGAGCCCAGGACAGAGCUCUUAGCCACACUUUGUCAAACUGGCGUGGGCGGGCGGUCCUUUGGAUGGUCCUGGGAUAGAAUAACAAGGCCCUGGUCACUUGUCAGAUCAUCACACAGCGGCAGUAGGCACAGGGAGGUACUUGGGAAGGUUCCCAAGGCUGAAUGAAGUCCAGGUAGGAGAAAGGAAUGCCCGCUCCAAAGACAUGAGUCGGCUGGGGCAGCUCAUGGUCACAGCUCUCUGCUCCCUGCCCGGUAGCUAGUUCUGCACUGGAGUAGCUUAGGCUCUGCAUGCAAGGCAGGGCACCUCCUCAUUUUCCGAGCGUCCCCAUUCCAUGGGCAACUCCAGCCACCCUCAGCUGUCCGCUGGUUGUCUGUAUGACUCAAGUUUGCUACAUUCUGAGCUCCUGGGGAAGGGAUCCCACAAGAUCUACUUGGGAGCCCCAUGCAUAGAGCUACAGUGUGCUGGCUGGAAGGUGAACCAGUGUAAUUGAGUUGGAGGGAGGGAGUGACCGCAGCACCGGUCUCCCCUUAGCUGCUCCCCUCUUCAACCACAAGCCGGCUCAAGAAAUCCCUUGCUUUCCUUUUAUUUAAUUCACACAUAUGUAUGUAUGCAUGUGCAUAUUGAUGUGUGUACAAGUGUGUAAGUAUGUACAACUGUGCAUUUGUGUAGACUCUCUACCUUAUAUUUUGAGACAGGGUCUCCCUCUGAACCUGGAGUUCCCGUUUAGCUGGAGUGUCUGGCCAGAGAGUCCCUAGGGACCUGCCUCUCUGCUCCGGUGCCAUCAUCACAAGAGUCCCCCGCCACCCUAGCUUUUCCAUGGGCUCCAGGGAUUUACAUUCUGGUUGUUAUGCUUGAGUGGCCAGUGCUUCACUCACUGGAUUAUCUCUGCAGCCCAGUGUUUUGCUUUGUUUUUUAACUACUGCAUAAUGAUGCCCCUGGGGUCUGGGCUGCCCAAUCCUGCAGGUGCCCAAGUAGAAUGCUGAACUUGCAAGGCUCCUUCUGAGCAUGAGAGCCACCUCCAGAAGAUACAUCGCCAGCCAACCAUUGUCACAGAGACAGUUGCCCAUCCUGGGAGAAAGUCACACAUGUUUAGUGCAGAUGCAACCUCUUUGUGAAAUGUGGCCCCACAGCUGGAUCUGUAGCUAUGGGAUCUGUGGAUGUGGAGCCUGGCCACCCCAUAAAGUAAAGGCAGCAGGGCCAUGGUUCAGCUAGCUGAGUCUUUUGUCUCCAAAAGCUGCAGUCCAGGUGUGGAUGGAGCAAGCCUUGUCUUCAGUUUGGACUCUUCUCCCAACCCUUGGGAAUGAGGGUCUCUUCAACCUCAGUGCUAACUCUGACCCCCAUCUCUAAGGUUCAUGGCUGCACCAGCCUUGCCACAGGCUCACCAGCUACAGUCAGGCCCACAUGCUCUGCAUCUCUGGAGCUCACCCACUGAAUUAUAGAGGGCCUCUGUCUCAUAGCCCCAUCCAUACACCUGGAAGAGCCUACACAGGAGAGAGUCUCUGUGGCGGGGGUCCUGGGAAACACCUUAGACUGCUACAAAUCUUGUGUUCCUGGGCCGGGAUUCUAGUCUGCCCCAUGAGUAAAGAAGAUUGUGGGGUGACUGAGCAGGAAUGGAGGAGGGAACAGUUUCAACUGAGAACCAGAACCCAUGUCUGACUCCACACUGAAGUGCCAUUGUAGCAACUUAUGCUUUCAAGGCCCAUCUGUGUGAGGGAUGGCGGUAGAGGCUGGGUGUGUUGUUAACUUCACAAAAUUCAGAAUUAUCUGGGAGAUGCCAUUGAGGGAUCAUCUUGAUUAUGCUAAUGGAGGUGGGAAGAUCUGCCCAUGGUGGGCAGCACCAUUCCCUAGGCAUCUAUCCUUGGCUUAUAAUGGACUGAACUCUUUAAGUAUGUCACCACUGAAUGUACAUUUGUCUCUGCAAUCAAGUUUCCCAUCUUCCCAAGGAAGCUGUCCAUCUUUAACUGAUUUACAUCUGUGAAGGUUGCUCUGGGCUUAGUUGGUAGAGUUCUUGCCUAGCAUUCAAGGAUCCAUGGGUUCUAUCCCCAGCACACUAAAAAAAAAAAAAAAAAAAAAAAAAAAAGUCUUUCUUCUCAUAAAUCAGAACUUGAGGGUUUGAUUUAAUUCCCAGUCAUCACAGCUGGCCAUGGAUCUGUCCACCCUCACCGGUUCUGGCUGGCCUGGCUGGUCUGCUGAAAGUGAGUGACAGGCCAUGAUUCACUGGGGCUAAGCCCAGGGAUACCUGGGUAAGCUGGUAUUUUCACUGCCUGGGACUCUGCAGUCCCAUGGCAGAACCCAGGGCUAUGUGUUGGUUCUAGGAGGUCCUGACCCCUGGCCUGUGGCCUCAGUGUUAUCACUUGCUUUUCUUCUCUUCCCUGGAUAACAACUUCACCAUCGACCCUGUACUGGGUUUAUUUUUCUGGAAAAGGGUCAAAUUCCAGUGUUUGUGGGCCUGUGUGCACCCAGGGCAGCUGACCCAGCUACUUCCCAGCGUUUGAACUAGAGGAGGACCUGGCCAGACCAUAUCCAGCCUGACAGGACAUUUCCCAUCCCAGGAAGCAGAUCCCUGCCAGCAGAAGUUCACAGUCUCUUUCCUUUGCAACCCCAAAAGAAAGUCCCUCCCCACAUCCCCACAUGUGGCUUCUCCCUAGUAACAACAC